rnacentral:rRNA from 1 species
CCUACGGGUGGCUGCAGUGAGGAAUAUUGGUCAAUGGGCGCGAGCCUGAACCAGCCACGUAGCGUGAAGGAUGACUGCCCUACGGGCUGUAAACUUCUUUUAUAAAGGAAUAAAGUGAGGCACGUGUGUCUUCUUGUAUGUACUUUAUGAAUAAGGAUCGGCUAACUCCGUGCCAGCAGCCGCGGUAAUACGGAGGAUCCGAGCGUUAGCCGGAUUUAUUGGGUUUAAAGGGAGCGUAGGUGGGUUGUUAAGUCAGUUGUGAAAGUUUGCGGCUCAACCGUAAAAGUGCAUUUGAUACUGGAAGCCUUGAGUGCAGUUGAGGAAGGCGGAAUUCGUGGUGUAGCGGUGAAAUGCUUAGAUAUCACGAAGAACUCCAGUUGCGAAGGCGACUUACUAGACUGCCACUGACGUUGAUGCGCGAAAGUGUGGGUAUCAAACAGGAUUAGAUACCCCAGUAGUC